GACGAACGCUGGCGGCGCGCCUAACACAUGCAAGUCGAACGAGCGAGAGAGAGCUUGCUUUCUUGAGCGAGUGGCGAACGGGUGAGUAACGCGUGAGGAACCUGCCUCAAAGAGGGGGACAACAGUUGGAAACGACUGCUAAUACCGCAUAAGCCCACGGUGCCGCAUGGCACAGAGGGAAAAGGAGCAAUCCGCUUUGAGAUGGCCUCGCGUCCGAUUGGCUAGUUGGUGAGGUAACGGCCCACCAAGGCGAGGAUCGGUGGCCGGACUGGGAGGUGGAGGGGCCGGGUUGGGGCUGAGGCACGGCCCGGAGUGCUACGGGGGGGAGGAGUGGGGAGUGUUGGGCGAGGGGGGAGGGCGUGGUGGAGCGGCGCGGGGGGGAGGGGGAAGGUGUUGGGAUUGUAAACUCCUGUUGUUGGGGGAGAUAGUGACGGUACCCAGGGAGGAAGUGACGGCUAACUACGUG
rnacentral:rRNA from 1 species